rnacentral:lncRNA from 1 species
UAGGUCUCUAUACCAAUCCAUAGAUCCUGUUGAUCCAGUUGUCCUAAAGACCUUUAAGAGAGUUGAGGUGAGUGGGAGCCUCAGCUACUCACGGGAAGCUUGCGUGUGGCCUUUCACAGACUUUUCUUUCCUCCUGCCAUGGCUUCUUCCAUCCACAGGUUCCUCCCACAGGGACACACCCUUCCCGGGUGGCAUUCUCCAGACACAAGGCAGAACCUGCUUUUCUCAUUUGUGACCUAACUAGAAAGUAACUACUGACAUCUCCAUCAUAUUCCAUAGGCCAAAGUAGUUAAGUGAAAGAAUGCUGGGACCAUGUUUUCUAAGUGCUACAGACCAACCAGUUCGUAUACGAUGUAACGGGUCCAGCAGAAAGCUUCUGGGAAGUCUGAAGUCUUCAUUUCUUCCCAGGAGUACUUACAGACCAACACUGAGAGAAAAAGAAAAGGAUUCAUUAGACAUUGUUUUCCAGCCUUUCCAACGAGGAAGUAAAGAGACUAGGGGCUUUCAGAACCUCUGACCCAUGCUGAAGGAAAACUGCAGCUUCUACUGUCCUCCUGCUGCUGGGUGCCUAUACUUAAUGGAGAGAGGUUUUUGGUUUUGUUUUAAUUUUUUAAAGUUGCUAACCAUUCGCAUAUAUGCAAACAACCUCAACAUUUUGACAUCACCAAAUUAAAUCCAUUUUUAAAAUAAAG